UGGACAUAUAUUGUGAUGUGUUUUUGCUUGCAUUUUUUAUAACUUUGUGGUAAAUCAAUAAUUUAUCUAUGUAUUCAGAUUUUAGAUUUUCAUAAGAUUCUGAUCAGUCAAUAAUUCAUGUUUAAUAAGUUACUCUAAUACAUGUCAGUACACACAAAUCUAUGUAAUAUUUGAUCCUCAUAUUACUGAAUCAUAUAAGUGAUUUCUUCUUUUUCUCCCUUUUGCUUGUCUGUGCAUCUUUGGUUGCCAGAUCAUUGCAUCCUCUGCGGUUGUGUUUUCCUCCUUCCUCCUGCCUACUGCCAAGUGGUCAUCAGAACCUUCUUUUAAAGGGUUGAGGCUGCGUUGGCUGUCUAUGCAAGUAACAGACACGCAACAUGUUAAUCAGACAUAUCUUUAUUUUGAAAUGUACAAUUCUACAUGUUCUGUAGCUUUUACAUAGACAUAGCUGUCUUAGCCUUUAAUGUAUAUAAUAUAAUGAGAUAUGACACAUUUAGCUAUUAGUCAAAAUUAUAAAGUUUAUUUUGAGAGGCAUUUGAAAGUUAAUGUAAAUAUGUUGAGUAAAAAUAAGGUUUCAUAGCUUAAAUGAACAGCCUGAUUUGUGUGAGAUGUGAACAGAACUGGUGUCUUUUUUCCUACAGUAGAUUGGACGUCUUUAUUUCCAUCAAUGUAAGAACUAUUUUUAAAAUUUAUUGGGAUAGCAUCAUCAACCAAAAAUGCAGUUAUUUUCAUACAAAUCUAAUUCAGCCAUAUGCAUUUUGUAUUUAUUUGUUAUUACAUUUUCCCCCUCUUUACAGUAAGUAACCAUUUUAGAAAUUAUUAUAUUAGAAUUGUUUAAUUAUUGCAAUUUAUUUAACUGCUUAGUCUUUUUUUUGUGUGUGUGUGUGAAGUGCAAUUUUGUAUUCCUGUUUGAAGAGUGUUUAUUAACUUGUUCUUUUCUGUGUGUAUGUGUUUCUGUGUGUGUGUGUCCUUUACUGUCCUGUCCUGUCCUGUCCUAUCCAUACCUUUAU